rnacentral:lncRNA from 1 species
GUCGCCCAGGGUUGGGAUGUUGGUGUCGGCUGGGGGCUGCUGUGAGGCGCUUGGUAGCACCCAGUCCUGAUACUCUCCAGUUACCCGGUAGGCGGGGCUCGGACACAAAGAAAAGAGAUCUUUGGGGGCUUGGAUGGAGGAACAGGAAAAGAGGAGCCAGGCGUUUUUGGAAAAUUGGCGGCAGCGGUGGCAUACGGGAAACUGAAAUCUUUAUCUAAUCUCAUCCUUUGUGUAUUCAUCUUGGAUUUGCUGAAGAAAAUUAAAAGGCCAGGCCUACCACUCCUAUGGCACAGUAUUGAUGAGAGACAUCAGUGGAGCUCCCCACCUCCACCCCAGGCUUGGAACUUAGGGAAUGACUGGUUUUUGUCAUUUCACACAACAGCUGAAGGAUUCUGUCCCCACCUCGUCCUCUGUGAAGUCUGCUGGACGUACCUGCCAGAAUCUUCUGAAGAUGACGUUUGCUGAACACUGACCCACAGGGGUUUGAUGGAUUAUUGACAAUGAGACAAGCUGUCUUUUCAUCAAUUAGAGAUUCCAGUUGUUUCAGGUCAAUUUCCCAAGAUUUCUCUGGCUGGAGAGAAAGAAAGGAUGAGACUAAGAUGAUUCUGAAACAUUUAGGGGGAAUCCUCACUUAUCUCAAGGGUCCAAUGUAAGCAAUAAAGUCUGUCUCUGGCUUCAACCACCA